AACCUUCUUCUUGGCCUCUUCUAACUCACUGUCCAUCUUCAUGAACAGUCCUUGAAGGCUUUGAAGAGACUAAGAAAAGGGAUACAUCCAUGACAAAAAAUGGGAGAUUUGGCCAAGACCCGGGAAAAUAGAACAAGAAUCAGUCUCACCUGGGCAGGUUAGAAGACUGGGCUGAGAGAAGCAAGGUGUCCUUCAACAGGGAGCAACGUAAGAAGAAGUGAAAUCCAACAGAAAUCCAACUUAGUUCUCUUUGGACACAGAAGGAAGGCGAAACAGCGCCGAAGAGCUGAUUUGUGGUUGUUCAUAAACCAGAGAACUGCUACUAGAAAGUAUAUAAGGACAUGCUAUUUCAAGAAAUGCUACUGAAUAGCAUGCAGCCAGUAUGAGAAGAUUUUAAACUCAUUGCCCUGCUGAAAUCACUUGAAAGACUCAGUCCCACUUUGGACAGAGUGACCACAUGAUAUUACACAAUUUCCUGAAAACUCAUGGAAAGUAUCUCAAUUUCCAGAAAGACAACAAUGAAUGUGCCUCUACUCAGUUUUUCCUUCCGAGAAUGAAAAAAGCAGGAGUCCCUAACUCUCGGUCCAUGACAUGCCAGAAACCGGGCUGCAGAAACAAGCUAAGUCCCAUCCGUGGGAUGCAGGAAGCACACGAAACCAUGUUCCCUCCAGUCUGUGGAAAAACCUCUCUCCACGAAACCGGUCCCUGGUGUCCAAAAGGUUGGGGGCCGCUACACUAUAGCACAGGGGGGAAUAAAAACAAGAUUGUCAA